rnacentral:misc_RNA from 1 species
AAAGUCGUAACAAGGUAACCGUAGGUGAACCUGCGGUUGGAUCAUUACAAAAUAAUGGUCUUUAAGCUUGAGCUGCUUUCGAGUAGCUCGCUUAAAGUCUUAUUCACCCUUGUGCACCGUUAUGUUUUUGGGUCGGAUAACGAUGACCCAGUAGUUUAUAAACACUUGUAUUUUUGACUGAAUUUUUUUGAAAAUAAAAAAUAACAACUUUUGACAACGGAUCUCUUGGCUCUC